rnacentral:rRNA from 1 species
UACGUAGGGUCCGAGCGUUGUCCGGAAUUAUUGGGCGUAAAGGGCUCGUAGGCGGUUCGUCGCGUCGGGAGUGAAAACUCGGAGCUCAACUCCGAGCCUGCUUCCGAUACGGGCAGACUAGAGGUAGGCAGGGGAGAGCGGAACUCCUGGUGUAGCGGUGGAAUGCGCAGAUAUCAGGAAGAACACCGGUGGCGAAGGCGGCUCUCUGGGCCUGAACUGACACUGAGACACGAAAACGUGGGGAGCAAACAGG